GUUUAUAUAGUUUAUAAAAAAUUUUAAUUUGUGGUAUUAAAGAUAUGAUUAUUCAUUUUAAACA
rnacentral:tRNA from 1 species